rnacentral:rRNA from 1 species
GAGACAGCAGUAGCCGCGGUAACACGAAGGGUGCAAGCGUUACUCGGAAUUACUGGGCGUAAAGCGUGCGUAGGUGGUGGUUUAAGUCCGUUGUGAAAGCCCUGGGCUCAACCUGGGAAUUGCAGUGGAUACUGGGUCACUAGAGUGUGGUAGAGGAUAGUGGAAUUUCCGGUGUAGCAGUGAAAUGCGUAGAGAUCGGAAGGAACAUCUGUGGCGAAGGCGACUAUCUGGGCCAACACUGACACUGAGGCACGAAAGCGUGGGGAGCAAACAGGAUUAGAUACCCCGGUAGUCCCUGUCUCUUAUAC